UUACGGCCAUAUCACGUUAAAACAUCGGUUUCUAUACGAUCACCGAAGUUAAGCAACGUCGAGCCAGGUCAGUACCUAGACGGGUAAUCGCUUGAGAAUAUCAGGUGCUGUAA